rnacentral:rRNA from 1 species
CAUGUAGGCGGUCUGCUAAGUUCGGAGUGACAGUCACCAGCUUAACUGGUGAAGUGUUUCGAAAACUGGCUGACUUGAGAGCGAGAGAGGGACAUGGAAUUCCGGGUGGAGCAGUGAAAUGCGUAGAGAUCCGGAGGAACACCAAAGGCGAAGGCAGUGUUCUGGCUCGUUUCUGACGCUGAGGUGCGAAAGCCAGGGGAGCGAACGGGAUUAGAUACCCCGGUAGUCCUGGCCGUAAACGAUGACCACUAGGCGUGGGAGGGAUCGACCCCUUCCGUGCCGUAGUCAACACAUUAAGUGGUCCGCCUGGGGAGUACGGUCGCAAGACUAAA